rnacentral:rRNA from 1 species
CCUACGGGGGGCAGCAGUCGAGAAUUUUUCACAAUGGGCGAAAGCCUGAUGGAGCGACGCCGCGUGGGGGAUGAAUGGCUUCGGCCCGUAAACCCCUGUCAUUCGGGAUCAAAUCUGAUAACCUAACACGUUAUCAGUUGAUAGUACUGAAAGAGGAAGGGACGGCUAACUCUGUGCCAGCAGCCGCGGUAAUACAGAGGUCCCAAGCGUUGUUCGGAUUUACUGGGCGUAAAGGGAGCGUAGGUGGCAUUCUAAGUCUGAUGUGAAAGCUCUGAGCUUAACUCAGAAAUGGCAUUAGAAACUAGUUUGCUUGAGGAUUGGAGGGGAGAUUGGAAUUCUUGGUGUAGCAGUGAAAUGCGUAGAUAUCAAGAGGAACACCAGUGGCGAAGGCGAAUCUCUGGACAAUUCCUGACACUGAUGCUCGAAAGCUAGGGGAGCAAACGGGAUUAGAUACCCGAGUAGUC